GACGAACGCUGGCGGCGUGCUUAACACAUGCAAGUCGAACGGUGAAGCGCCUUCCUUUUUGGUGGGUGUGGAUGAGUGGCGAACGGGUGAGUAACACAUGAGUAACCUGCCCCCUUCUUCUGGAUAACCGCAUGAAAGUGUGGCUAAUACGGGAUAUUCUGGGUCUGUCGCAUGAUGGGUCUGGGAAAGAUAUUGUUUCGGUGGGGGAUGGGCUCGCGGCCUAUCAGCUUGUUGGUGGGGUGAUGGCCUACCAAGGCGGUGACGGGUAGCCGGCCUGAGAGGGUGGACGGUCACACUGGGACUGAGACACGGCCCAGACUCCUACGGGAGGCAGCAGUGGGGAAUAUUGCACAAUGGGCGCAAGCCUGAUGCAGCGACGCCGCGGGAGGGAUGGAGGCCUUCGGGUUGUGAACCUCUUUCGCCAGUGAAGCAGGCCUGCCUCGUUUGUGGGUGGGUUGACGGUAGCUGGAUAAGAAGCGCCGGCUAACUACGUG
rnacentral:rRNA from 1 species